AUGUGCACUUGUGCGAGUACACACACAUGCUUUUAAACAAUAUAUACUCUGCUUCAUUCUAUGCUAUUGACUGACAGUAAGAAAUUUCCCGAUACAGCCCCCAUACUUUGAUUGGUAACUUCCUUAAAAUUUGUUGAGCUGUCUUUAUUUCCUUCCUCUCCCCGUUUUUCAUUUCAGUUGGGUUUUAACUUAAAAAAAAAAAUGAAAAAGAAAAAAGUGUGUAUGCGUACGCGCGCGCACACACACACACACACACACACACACACACACACACACUCGCCAGAGGUCAUUCCUUUGGUUGUCCACACUCACUGUGCAGCUGAGGGUGACCUUGAACUUUUGAUCCUCUCUUGCUCAUGUGACCUAAGUACUGUGAUUAUAGGCCAGCCCACUCUGUGUGUGUGUGUGUGUGUGUGUGUGUCUGUGUGUGUGUGUGUCUGUGUGUGUGUGUGUGUGUGUGUGUAGCAGGUCUUCUGAUUCGGUCUUUCCCAUUCAGCCCCUCUGGCCUGGGGAGCCAGUGUAGGAAGGAGGUCAGUAAAGGUAAGGGUAAGCUACCCGUGUGUUCUGCACGCUGCACCCUUUAGGGACUGCCUGCAGACAGGAUCUGACAUUCUACCUGUCUCUAAGCAAAGCAAAAUCCAGAAAUAAUUUCUUUUUAUUAUAUCUUGUUAGCAAGCUAUGCUAUUAAAGUUUGUUUAGAAAUGGAAACAAAAGCAUAAUUGUACCAUACCAUAAUUAUGAUAAAACAAUUUCAAACUGUGCCAAAAUUAUAUAUCCAUAUCCUUUUAUUUGAUAGGGUUUAGUGAGUAUUCACUCUUCACAAAAGUGUUUGAGUCCUUAUACAGUAGUUCUGUCUACAGAGUGUUUUAACUUCAGUAAGCAGGAAGAGCAAGGAAGAUGGAGUGUGUGGGGGUGGGGUAGAAUGAGGAGAGGAAACGCAAGCUGUAGCUCCUGUAGGCAGCAAUCACACCCUUACAUGAUGUGGAGGAAGCAAGCCACCCUACUGGCCACAGGCAGUGCAGACGUGUAGAGCCUGGGAAGGAGAAGGUCAGUCCUGACGCGAUGCGUAGGGCAGCCAGAGGCAGCAGCAGGUGAGCGCCAGAGAAGUAAGAUCAGGUGUCUUGGACAAACUAAAGCUAGAGUGGGAAGCUGAGACAGGAGUGGAAGAACACUGUCAGUCAGGGGCUGACCACCUAAACGGCGCUGGUCACCUGCCUCCCUCCCUCAUGGCCACGGUCACCUUGGGCUAUUCCUGACAAGGCUCACAUGGCUGUAGCCAUGAUUGCUGUAGCCAGUGCACUGAUUAUUUUAUUCCUGGAAAUGAUGAAUGCUUCCUUCUGGCUUUUUCAACUCUGCUGUAGAUUUACUUUUGCAGUUAUGUUGUUCGUAAGGUGGCUUCCUGUUGCUCUGUCAGAAGGAUUCAUAGUAUCUAUUUUUCUGAAGGCCAUGCAUAAAAGUUUACAAAAGAUUGAAAUUCCAGUCAGCAAGACAAAGGAGUUCCCAUACAAACGCUCAUCAUUAGAUCUGUGACUGUACAUUUUGACCUUUGCCGAUAGAAUUUCUUCAUGUCCUCUCCCCCCUCUCCCUCCCCCUCCCCUUUUCUCUCCUCAGAAAGAUUUCUCUGUGUCUCUUGCCAUGUAGCUUAGGCAGUCCUGGGACUCAGGGAUGAAAGGGUGUGCCACCAUACCUGGGUUUAGAAUACUUUUUCAUCAAAGAAGCAAUGGGAAGAUAGUACAUUAAGAAAUAUUUGUGUCUACAGCAUUUAAUAGAUCUGACACUUCUAUGUUUAAGGCAUCAUUGAUCUGAGCCAAUUGUCUUUGAAAAUAGACUUCUUCAUGAAGACAUUAAACACACUCCUUUUAGUAGCCAACUCCCUUCACUGACUUUGGUUGUUGUAAACCUGGUUAAGAAGUUUAGGCAGACUUCCUUGGGAUUCUCCAUAGGUCUAGUUUUCUUAUAGCAGUUAGGUGAUCCCCGUCAGGAGUGAGACAGUGCUGAGUUCCCACGAGGGGAGACUUCUGUGUACUCAUUCUGACCCUCAGAAUUGAGAUCUAAUAGGUCUCAUUGGGAAGAAGAAGCAGCACAUCACAUAAUCUCGGGUGGGGCAGCCUGAGGCCAUGUGACUAGGAAGCAGGAGGCCUCUAUUUGUAGUCUAGACUAGCUGGUUCAGGACAGAUUAUCUUUCUCCAUUCUCAGAGCUUCAGUAAGGAUGGAAUCUACAGAGACUUCAAGUAUUGGCACAGGGAGAAGACCUUACAGGUCAGGGUAGGAAUAUCCAGGCUUAGAGAUGUUGUGUACCUGAGUUGUGAAGGUUGUGGUCAAGUGCCACAGGAUUCUGACGGAGCAGCAGGCAGCAUCUAGCUGUUGGCAGGGGAGACCUGAAGAAGUUGAGGCCUGCUUAUGGGAGAUUGGGAAUGCUAGUUUGGAUGGUUUAAGGCUUCCUUACCCAUUGCAUUCUAGAAAUGUGGCUUUACAAAAUGAUGACAAGAUGUAGAUAUUAACUGGAAGGAAGGGUAGAAAUAGUGUGUUUUCUGCCAUCUUGGAUUUGCUUUCCAAGACUCUAUUGUAAUUAAAUGUGAGUAUGUUGAUACUCUGGCUUACUGCAUGGGAAGGUAUGUUCUGGCCUUAGGCAGACAGAAGAGGACUAGACACUGGGUGGCUUGUUGCACGAUAUGUGAAGUUAAUGUCCAGUGACAUGGCCUGCAUGGUCAGCCAGAAAAGAGAUUUGGCUUGGGGCCAUCUUGGUAUUGUAGCGAUCUCCACGUCUACUGGAAUUCCAAUUAGGUUCUUGCAGAGUUCCUUACAGUUAGAGCAGCCCUUUUGACAUACGUGCUUUUCUUAAGCACAUGCACUUGGGGCUUAGCUUACAGAAGGCCUAAUGUAAGGGGAAUGAAUCCAUCCAGUUCUGACGCUUCUAUUGUCAGUAGUGGUUUUUGUUUUUUUUUUUUUGUAACUUUUAAAUUAUGACCUUGUCUGUGUUUGCAUACAUGCCACACCCUGAUGUGGAGACCAGAGAGCAAGGGUGUGGGAACUGGCUCUCCCUUUCCUCUUCAGACUCUGUGCACCCCUGCCCUCUGGUUUUUAUGGUUUGAUCACUCAGUUAUGAGAUGCCUUUGCUUGUCACCUAGCUCUAGAGACUUAGGGGCCACGGGGAAGGAACUGUAUGUAGCACGUGCAGUCUUGCGAAGCCAGGCUCAGUGUCUGUCGUGGCUUCUCUGUGUCUUCGUUACUGCUGUUGUCUUCUUUGAGUCACUUGUGUCCUUAUAGCAUUUCUUAGUUCCCCUUUGUCCUCAGUGCUCAGGGACUCCUUGUGGCCUGCUUCCAUGCUGGGGGACUGGGUAGUGAGCUGAGAAAGUUCUCACAGACACCGACUGACAGACACCUUUAAGUUAUUUGCUUGUUGAGUCACAAACUGACCUUGGGGCCUAGUGUGUUUGUGGGGCUCAGUGCUCAUUGUAAAUGAGGAUUAGAAAGUAAGCAUGAACAAGCUCUCCCUGCCCCCCAUGUGUGAGGUUAAGUUAGUCGUACACUGGCGACUUAAAGCAGGCAGAAAUUGUAGAGCCCUGUAGACAAGGAAGACAAGCCCUGUGAGUCAGGAAGGGAGGGCUAGCUCACCUGGGACCGCAGACUGUGAGGAGAGAUGCAGAGUGGACACUGGGUGGGGGUGGGGCGGCGCUUCCAUACACACUGCACGGUUCACCAGCAAGGUUGGUUGGGUGGGAGCAAAGAGAAAAGAAGUGUUCACACUACACACACGUGGGGCAAAGAGUGCGAGCGUGGGAACCCCUCACCAUUCUUUCAGAAGGCUAAAAUCAGCAAGUGCUACUUCUCAGACGCAAAGAGGCUAGCAGAUUGGUCUGCGGGGUGGAUUUCUGACGUCUCUCUCCCUGUUCACGGGCAGGCACUAUGUCAAUUGUGUCUUUCCAAACUGUUCCCUCUCUGAGCCAAUUGUUCUCUUCAUUUUAUAGCAGUAGUAGAAUUUCUGAAGAAGACCACCAGCAUCAGCUAUAUAAUUGGCUUUAAUAUAUGAUCUGGUAUACUUCCAUAAUGAUGCAUAAAAUAGAAUCGUAAUGAUAGUGUUUGAGAAUUGUUUGCACACAGUGAGAAAUUCAAGAAUUACUGUAUUUCAUUAAAGUUUUGUUCUGAACUUCCAUGUGAGUGAAUGAAUAUGUAUAUACAUUGUGGUGUUUAUGAAUGAAUGGAAAUGAGACACUAACAUUCAGAUCAGUGUGAGCUGCUUGGAGUAAUGCCCAUCUUUUAACAGUAUGUUUAAUAAUUCAUUUAUCUCAAACUACUAAUGAUUCGGUAGUUUCUUCUAGCAAGGGAUCAACUCUUUAUUUAUUUAUUUUUUCAUUUUCAAAAUAUUUUUGUUUUUCAAGACAGGGUUUCUCUGUGUAGCCCUGGCUGUCCUGGAACUCACUCUGUAGACCAGGCUGGCCUUGAACUCAGAAAUACCCCUGCCUCUGCCUCCCAAGUGCUGGGAUUAAAGGUGUGCACCACCACUGCCCGGCAACUUUACAAAUUUUUUUAUGACUACAAAAAUCAGUACAUAUGCUUGGGCAUUGUAAGAGUUCACAUAAGAAAUGUAAGUUUCCCGUUGUUCCUGUAAAGGGACAGCCUUGUGGUUUGGUUGUUUACAGUUACGCUCUAGUAGAGAAAGGACAGUGAGCAUCACUGCUGCUGUCAGUGUCACCAGCUGCCGUGUGGUGUGUGUGUGCUGAGAGCUAGAGAGAACGGGGGCCUGCACUCAUCUUUAUGGGUAUGGCAGCGACACACACUUUAAAAAUGGCUUUUGGCAGGAUUAAUAGAAACACCAAACCAAAGUUCUACCUUUUGCUUUGUUUUUAAAAUUUAUUUAUUUGUCUUAUGUGUGUGAGGACAUUGUAGCUGUCUUCAGACACACCAGAAGACGGCAUCAGAUCCCAUUACAGAUGGUUGGAGUCACCAUAUGGUAGCUGGGAAUUGAACUCAGGACCUCUGGAAGAGCAGUCUUUGCUCUU
rnacentral:lncRNA from 1 species